rnacentral:tmRNA from 1 species
GGGGGCGUUAUAGAUUCGCUCGGGGGAGCAAUGGCAAGAGUGGCGUGUCGAGAUCCCGCUUGUCUCGUUAAACAGCGGACAAUCAAUAAUUGCCAAAGAAAACAAUUACGCUUUAGCUGCUUAAUCCCAGCUAACAUCCUCCCUUCACGGUCUGCAGUGAAGGAUCAGGGUGUCACAAUUAGCAGACUGUCUUGGAAGACCGCCGUCUGAGGUCAAUCAAGGAAACCAAUCAGACUGGCUUCAACGGAAUCCCGCUUUCAGGAGUCCCGCGGAGCGAGAAAACAAAAUGAAAGCUACACACGUAGAAGCUCUUGUGGUUGUCUUUCGAUACAGGGGUGCAAGUCCCCUCGCCUCCACCA